ensembl:rRNA 5S_rRNA 5S ribosomal RNA
GCCAGCAGCCAUAUCACCCUGCAACUCACAACUGGCAACCCACUGAAGCUAAGCAGGUGUCACCCUGGUCAGUACCUGGAUAGGAGACCUCCUGGGAAACACUAAGGUUGCUGUUGGAA